rnacentral:rRNA from 1 species
UGGGGAAUCUUCCGCAAUGGACGAAAGUCUGACGGAGCAACGCCGCGUGAGUGAUGAAGGAUUUCGGUCUGUAAAGCUCUGUUGUUUAUGACGAACGUGCAGUGUGUGAACAAUGCAUUGCAAUGACGGUAGUAAACGAGGAAGCCACGGCUAACUACGUGCCAGCAGCCGCGGUAAUACGUAGGUGGCGAGCGUUGUCCGGAAUUAUUGGGCGUAAAGAGCAUGUAGGCGGCUUAAUAAGUCGAGCGUGAAAAUGCGGGGCUCAACCCCGUAUGGCGCUGGAAACUGUUAGGCUUGAGUGCAGGAGAGGAAAGGGGAAUUCCCAGUGUAGCGGUGAAAUGCGUAGAUAUUGGGAGGAACACCAGUGGCGAAGGCGCCUUUCUGGACUGUGUCUGACGCUGAGAUGCGAAAGCCAGGGUAGCGGACGGG